AGCGAACGCUGGCGGCAGGCUUAACACAUGCAAGUCGAGCGGGCAUCUUCGGGUGUCAGCGGCGGACGGGUGAGUAACGCGUGGGAACGUGCCUUCUGGUUCGGAAUAACUCAGGGAAACUUGAGCUAAUACCGGAUACGCCCUUAUGGGGAAAGGUUUACUGCCGGAAGAUCGGCCCGCGUCUGAUUAGCUAGUUGGUGGGGUAACGGCCUACCAAGGCGACGAUCAGUAGCUGGUCUGAGAGGAUGAUCAGCCACACUGGGACUGAGACACGGCCCAGACUCCUACGGGAGGCAGCAGUGGGGAAUAUUGGACAAUGGGGGCAACCCUGAUCCAGCCAUGCCGCGUGAGUGAUGAAGGCCUUAGGGUUGUAAAGCUCUUUUAUCCGGGACGAUAAUGACGGUACCGGAGGAAUAAGCCCCGGCUAACUCUGUGCCAGCCGCCGCAGUAA
rnacentral:rRNA from 1 species